AUAUCAAUAAGCGGAGGAAAAGAAACUAACAAGGAUUCCCCUAGUAACGGCGAGUGAAGCGGGAAGAGCUCAAAUUUGAAAUCUGGUAGACUCAGUCUAUCCGAGUUGUAAUCUAUAGAAGCAGUUUCCGUGCUGGCUCAUGUACAAGUCCCUUGGAACAGGGCGUCAUAGAGGGUGAGAAUCCCGUUCUUGACAUGAACUACCAGUGCUUUGUGAUCUGUUUUCAACGAGUCGAGUUGUUUGGGAAUGCAGCUCAAAAUGGGUGGUAAAUUCCAUCUAAAGCUAAAUAUUGGCGAGAGACCGAUAGCGAACAAGUACCGUGAGGGAAAGAUGAAAAGCACUUUGGAAAGAGAGUUAAACAGUAUGUGAAAUUGUUGAAAGGGAAACGAUUGAAGUCAGUCAUGUCUAUUGGACUCAGCCGGUUCUGCCGGUGUAUUUCCUUUAGAUGGGGUCAACAUCAGUUUUGACCGUUGGAUAAAGGCAGGAAGAAUGUAGCACUCUCGGGUGAACUUAUAGCUUCUUGUCACAUACAAUGGUUGGGACUGAGGAACGCAGCAUGCCUUUAUGGCCGGGAUUCGUCCACGUACAUGCUUAGGAUGUUGACAUAAUGGCUUUAAACGACCCGUCUUGAAA
rnacentral:rRNA from 1 species